AAGAGAGCAAGGAAGAGGAGGGUGCGAAUCUUGUGAUGUUAUGUAUGUUUGUAUUUCCAUUCUUUCUUCUUUUCUUUUUAUUUUUCUGUUUUGUGCUGUUGGCAACAGGGAUGGAAGAAGGAGAAGAAGGAGAGAAUAG
rnacentral:ribozyme from 1 species